rnacentral:lncRNA from 1 species
GUUUAGUUUUGAUUUUAGUCUUAGUUUUAGGUUAUUUUAGUUAAAGUUUAGUUUUUCAAUUUUCCGGCAAUUCUGAGCUAAGUUCUUUCAGGACCUAUUAAGUGUUCCUUCCUUAAGAGAGGGACAGCUGCUGACAUUCACUAGAGGGUCCCCAUGUUCCUCAGAGUAGCAUCCGAAACCUUUAUUCUUACUCCCAUUUUGAGAGUGUCACUAUUAAAAGCUUUUACAUCUGUUCUCUGGAAGACUUUUUGGUCAUCAAUUAGGGAUUUGAUGGAAGGGCUUAUGUAUAAGGAAGCAGUCCUUUCAUUAACCUAAGAAAUAUGGAGCUUUUAAAUGCUUUGAAAAUAUUUUAAAAUAUAAGGUAUAAGUAAAUAUCAAGAGUUUUGCUGUGCUUGGGUGUUCUAUGUUUACUAAUAUAUUCAGUCCCUUAAGACCCAAAAUUAGUACAUACGUUUUAGCCUCGCCUCAUCUCCUUUGUUCUCAAGCAACCCAGAGAACAAAGGAGCCUGAGAUCUCGGUAACAGAAGAGAUGGCCAAUGAAGGAUGGGAACUUGGUGCAACCGGAAGCUUCUGUUGAAGAAGGACCAUCCCUUUAGGGUUAUGGAAUUUCCCCUAACUCCUGAGUGAGUUUGCAAGGUGGCAAUGUGGGUGGGUGGGGUAUACCCUCAGGCUAUGAGCAUCUCCUAGAGCAGAGGUUGGCACACUAACUUUUAAAAGUCAGAGAGUAAGUAUUUUUUGGCUUGGCUGGCUGUCGUCGGACGCUCAUUUCGAGUGACCAUUCCAACAGAUUUAAUUGCUUCCAAUGGAGAAGUCAUCAAGGUAUCAGCCGCGGGGAAGGAGGCCUUACCAUCCUGGCUGCACUGGGACCCGCAGAGCCACACCCUGGAGGGUCUCCCCCUUGACACCGAUAAGGGGGUGCAUUACAUUUCAGUCAGCGCUGCACGACUGGGGGCCAACGGGAGCCACGUCCCCCAGACUUCCAGCGUGUUCUCUAUCGAGGUCUACCCUGAAGACCACAGCGAGCCGCAGUCGCUGCGGGCGGCCUCACCGGACCCCGGCGAGGUGGUGUCCUCGGUCUGUGCUGCUGAUGAGCCUGUGACCGUCCUGACAGUCAUUC